GUGGACGCCAGUCUGCAUGGAGCCGACCUUGAAAUACCACCCUUUAAUGUUUGAUGUUCUAACGUGGACCCGUAAUCCGGGUUGCGGACAGUGUCUGGUGGGUAGUUUGACUGGGGCGGUCUCCUCCUAAAGAGUAACGGAGGAGCACGAAGGUUGGCUAAUCCUGGUCGGACAUCAGGAGGUUAGUGCAAUGGCAUAAGCCAGCUUGACUGCGAGCGUGACGGCGCGAGCAGGUGCGAAAGCAGGUCAUAGUGAUCCGGUGGUUCUGAAUGGAAGGGCCAUCGCUCAACGGAUAAAAGGUACUCCGGGGAUAACAGGCUGAUACCGCCCAAGAGUUCAUAUCGACGGCGGUGUUUGGCACCUCGAUGUCGGCUCAUCACAUCCUGGGGCUGAAGUAGGUCCCAAGGGUAUGGCUGUUCGCCAUUUAAAGUGGUACGCGAGCUGGGUUUAGAACGUCGUGAGACAGUUCGGUCCCUAUCUGCCGUGGGCGCUGGAGAACUGAGGGGGGCUGCUCCUAGUACGAGAGGACCGGAGUGGACGCAUCACUGGUGUUCGGGUUGUCAUGCCAAUGGCACU
rnacentral:rRNA from 7 species